AUUUGCACACACUUUGGAGUGUAAGCAGAAAACUCAAAACAGUGCGGUCACACAAGUUUAACACGGAUCCUUACAGGAGUUCUAAUGAAGAAGAUUUAUACUCAUAAAGGUUGCAAGCAAUUACCCUGUGGACAGUUUCAAGGUGUUUGCGGGACUUGGAAAAACACUAUAUACAACUCUAUACUAGAACCACUACAGAUUAGUUACAAAAAGCAAGGAGAAGGACAUGGUCAUGGUAUAAGACUUGCACUGGAACGUCAUGGAGCUUCCUUAUAGAUUUUACCAAGUGCCAGCAUAUACCUUCUCAGUUCUGCCUAGGUGAGUCAGAGAACUCUACCUCUCAGCCAGUCCUGUUUAACCUGCUGAAUUGAACUUGCCAAUGGAAUACUACUUAUAAUUAACUUUGAACAAUGACAGAAAAUACAUGACCUUGAUGAAACAUUGAGUCAAAUAUUUUCAUAUCUGUUG